UUAGUACCCCAAAUCCCUUCAUCUCCCCUUCAGCCGGUCUCCUCCGCGCGCGACCCAUAAUGCUGAAACAUGAGUAGAGUGACCUGCAAUUUGUGGCGAAAACGUUGGGAUUUGUUGGAUCGGUGAUUGUUAAGAAGUUCCUAAAUCUCUGUCAAGUAUAUUUAUAAUCAAUAGUUUUUUUUUCUCUUCGCCGCUUCCAAAAAUUAUUUUCUGGAUGUGGAAAGGGAAAGAGCAUGCUGAGCACAAGUAUGGAGUUACAGAAAUAAUGAUGUAUAUUUGUACAAAAUGGGAUUGGACAGCACUUUGGACACUUAAAGGCUUGAAGAUUUAUGGAAAUACUUCCGAAUGAUGAUUUUAUCUUUUGUUGGUGUAUUUGUUUACACUCAAGUUAGAGAUGUACAAUGCAUUGUUUAUGUUUUAGUUUGGAAACUGAACUGGUGUAUUUCAUUCCAUGGUUGUAUGUUGAGUUAUAAGUGUUAAUUAAUUGUGAAGUAGGGAGUAUGUUAUUUAUAUGCACUGGAAUGAGGUGCUGCUUGGACAGCCUAAACUAUAUUUGUUAAAGUUAAAUCAGGUAAUUGAAUAACAUUCUGAUUAUAUGAAAUGAGUGGAGGAAUUUUCCAUGUAA